UACGUAGGGUGCAAGCGUUGCCCGGAUUUAUUGGGCGUAAAGGGCGCGUAGGCGGCUCUGCACGUUCGUUGUGAAAUCGCCCGGCUCAACUGGGCGGGGUCAGCGGAUACGGCAGAGCUUGAGCAAGCUAGGGGGCAAUGGAAUUCCCGGUGUAGUGGUGGAAUGCGUAGAUAUCGGAAGGAACACCAGUGGCGAAAGCGGCUUCCUGGUCCGACACCGACGUUCAGGCACGAAAGCGUGGGGAGCAAACAGG
rnacentral:rRNA from 1 species